rnacentral:rRNA from 1 species
CACGUAGGCGGCUUCAAAAGUCGGAUGUGAAAUCCCACGGCUCAACCGUGGACGUGCAUCCGAAACUGGGAGGCUUGAGUACUGAAGAGGAUCGCGGAAUUCCCGGUGUAGAGGUGAAAUUCGUAGAUAUCGGGAGGAACACCAGUGGCGAAGGCGGCGAUCUGGGCAGAUACUGACGCUGAGGUGCGAAAGCGUGGGGAGCAAACA